GAUCAUGGCUCAGAUUGAACGCUGGCGGCAUGCCUUACACAUGCAAGUCGAACGGCAGCACGGGGCAACCUGGUGGCGAGUGGCGAACGGGUGAGUAAUGCAUCGGAACGUGCCAUUGAGUGGGGGGUAACGUAGCGAAAGUUACGCUAAUACCGCAUAUUCUGUGAGCAGGAAAGCAGGGGAUCGCAAGACCUUGCGCUCUUUGAGCGGCCGAUGUCAGAUUAGCUAGUUGGUGAGGUAACGGCUUACCAAGGCGACGAUCUGUAGCGGGUCUGAGAGGAUGAUCCGCCACACUGGAACUGAGACACGGUCCAGACUCCUACGGGAGGCAGCAGUGGGGAAUUUUUGGACAAUGGGGGCAACCCUGAUCCAGCCAUGCCGCGUGAGUGAAGAAGGCCUUCGGGUUGUAAAGCUCUUUCGGCCGGGAAGAAAUCGCAUGGGUUAAUACCCUGUGUGGAUGACGGUACCGGCAUAAGAAGCACCGGCUAACUACGUG
rnacentral:rRNA from 1 species